rnacentral:tRNA from 6 species
GCGGGAUUAGUACAGUGGCAGUAUGUCAGCUUCCCAAGCUGAAGACGCCAGUCCGAUUCUGGUAUCCCGCUCAA